CGGCCAAUGGGAGGAAACUCUGACCGAGCAACGCCGCGUGAACGAUGAAGUAUCUCGGUACGUAAAGUUCUUUUCAUUAGGAGAAGAAUAAAUGAUCGAAAAAUCAUUCUGACGGUACCUAAUGAAUAAGCCCCGGCUAACUAUGUGCCAGCAGCCGCGGUAAUACAUAGGGGGCAAGCGUUAUCCGGAAUUAUUGGGCGUAAAGGGUGCGUAGGCGGUUAAAUAAGUUUAUGGUCUAAGUGCAAUGCUCAACAUUGUGAUGCUAUAAAAACUGUUUAACUAGAGUAAGAUAGAGGCAAGUGGAAUUCCAUGUGUAGUGGUAAAAUGCGUAAAUAUAUGGAGGAACACCAGUAGCGAAGGCGGCUUGCUGGGUCUUUACUGACGCUGAGGCACGAAAGCGUGGGGAGCAAACAGGAUUAGAUACCCUGGUAGUCCACGCCGUAAACGAUGAGUACUAAAUGUUGGGUAAAACCAGUGUUGAAGUUAACACAUUAAGUACUCCGCCUGAGUAGUACGUACGCAAGUAUGAAACUUAAAGGAAUUGACGGGACUCCGCACAAGCGGUGGAUCAUGUUGUUUAAUUCGAAGGUACCCGAAAAACCUCACCAGGUCUUGACAUGCUUCUGCAAAGCUGUAGAAACACAGUGGAGGUUAUCAGUUGCACAGGUGGUGCAUGGUUGUCGUCAGCUCGUGUCGUGAGAUGUUGGGUUAAGUCCCGCAACGAGCGCAACCCUUAUUGUUAGUUGCCAGCACGUAAUGGUGGGGACUUUAGCAAGACUGCCAGUGAUAAAUUGGAGGAAGGUGGGGACGACGUCAAAUCAUCAUGCCCCUUAUGACCUGGGCUACAAACGUGAUACAAUGGCUGUUACAAAGAGUUAGCUGAA
rnacentral:rRNA from 1 species